CACGAACUAUAUAUAAGGCUUGCUAGAGAUGGAUGAGUUUGCUACACAAAACAAAAUCCAACACUACAUAAAUCCUUAGAAGUAAAUAUAG
rfam:Clostridium botulinum A str. ATCC 3502 complete genome